UUCAUUUGUUCUGAAACCCUAGCGCCGCACCGCUUCCCUUCCAUCCCGAGAGCUCGAGGGUUUCUCUCUACUUCGUUUCACAAAAUCGUUAUCCUUGAAUGUCUCAGUUAGUCCAUGCGAUUGCUUCACUGAUAAGAUGUAGCAAGUCAUGACCUUGUCUUAGUAUCUCACUCAAAAACGAAAAGGCCAGGUUUUGGUGGUUGAAAUCUAUUGCACAUGAGAGUAGAGCCAUACCUUUUGAGAAUAAUACUACAUUACGGCACAUAGGAUAAGGAAGGGCUAAUCCAGUGAAACAGUCUCAUAAACGAGCUAUUAAAAAGUUAAGAAGAAAAGUGAUGGAGCAGUCUUGUCAGAACCUACCAGCUACGACUGAUAAUCUAAUUCAA